GGCAGGCAGCGUUUGAAUCUUGUUCCCCCGGAGUCUGAAGGAUACAGUGGCAGUACCAUCAGAUGUGCAACUGGAGGGGGGAAAACUAUGCUGUAUAUUGUACCGUUAUAGGAUGAGUUCAAUCUUUCUCCUCUUCCCUCUGAUGCACAGGAAUUUUCGCUAAUGCCAAAAGCAGAGUGCAAGAAAUGUUUUAAAAUGAUGCCACUUCAAAUUCUUGCCUUGCAUGUGAGGGAAUGCGAUACUCUGGAAUAUGAGACACUCUCAGAUUCGGAACCAGAGGUAACUAAUUCACCACCAGCCUUCAAGGAAAAGUCGACAGAUGUAAAGUGCCCUGUGUGCAUGAAAACGUUUCCUCUUCUGGAAUUGGAGUUCCAUGCAAGUUUUUGUGGUGACUUGGAAAGGUAAUGCAAUACACA